ACGAACGCUGGCGGCGUGCUUAACACAUGCAAGUCGAACGGAAAGGCCCUUCGGGGUACUCGAGUGGCGAACGGGUGAGUAACACGUGGGUGAUCUGCCCUGCACUUUGGGAUAAGCCUGGGAAACUGGGUCUAAUACCGGAUAGGACCACGCGCUUCAUGGUGUGUGGUGGAAAGCUUUUGCGGUGUGGGAUGGGCCCGCGGCCUAUCAGCUUGUUGGUGGGGUAAUGGCCUACCAAGGCGACGACGGGUAGCCGGCCUGAGAGGGUGACCGGCCACACUGGGACUGAGAUACGGCCCAGACUCCUACGGGAGGCAGCAGUGGGGAAUAUUGCACAAUGGGCGCAAGCCUGAUGCAGCGACGCCGCGUGAGGGAUGACGGCCUUCGGGUUGUAAACCUCUUUCAAUAGGGACGAAGCGCAAGUGACGGUACCUAUAGAAGAAGGACCGGCCAACUACG
rnacentral:rRNA from 1 species